rnacentral:tRNA from 1 species
UAGCUCUAAUGGCAGAGCAUCGGACUCCAAAUCCGGAUGUUGGGGGUUCGAAUCCCUCCUGG